GCUUGGAUAGCUCAGCUGGUGCAGCAUGAGACUCUUCAUCUCUGGGUUGUGGGUUCGAAUCCCACGUUGGGCA